UACGAAGGGGCUAGCGUUGCUCGGAAUCACUGGGCGUAAAGGGUGCGUAGGCGGGUCUUUAAGUCAGGGGUGAAAUCCUGGAGCUCAACUCCAGAACUGCCUUUGAUACUGGCGAUCUUGAGUCCGGAAGAGGUGAGUGGAACUCCUAGUGUAGAGGUGGAAUUCGUAGAUAUUAGGAAGAACACCAGUGGCGAAGGCGGCUCACUGGUCCGGUACUGACGCUGAGGUGCGAAAGCGUGGGGAGCAACAGGAUUAA
rnacentral:rRNA from 1 species